AUUGAACGCUGGCGGAAUGCUUUACACAUGCAAGUCGAACGGCAGCACGGGUGCUUACACCUGGUGGCGAGUGGCGAACGGGUGAGUAAUACAUCGGAACGUACCCAGUUGUGGGGGAUAACGAGUCGAAAGAUUCGCUAAUACCGCAUACGACCUGAGGGUGAAAGCGGGGGACCGUAAGGCCUCGCGCAAUUGGAGCGGCCGAUGUCUGAUUAGCUAGUUGGUGAGGUAAAGGCUCACCAAGGCGACGAUCAGUAGCUGGUCUGAGAGGAUGAUCAGCCACACUGGAACUGAGACACGGUCCAGACUCCUACGGGAGGCAGCAGUGGGGAAUUUUGGACAAUGGGGAAACCCUGAUCCAGCCAUUCCGCGUGAGUGAAGAAGGCCUUCGGGUUGUAAAGCUCUUUCGGCAGGGAAGAAACGCUCUGGCUUAAUACGCCGGGGUAAUGACGGUACCUGAAGAAGAAGCACCGGCUAACUACGUGCCAGCCGCCGCGGUAA
rnacentral:rRNA from 1 species